rnacentral:misc_RNA from 1 species
GAUGAAGAACGUAGCGAAAUGCGAUAAGUAGUGUGAAUUGCAGAAUUCAGUGAAUCAUCGAAUCUUUGAACGCACAUUGCGCCCGUCAGUAUUCUGGCGGGCAUGCCUGUUCGAGCGUCAUUACGCCCCUCAAGUCCCCUGUGGACUUGGUGUUGGGGAUCGGCGAGGCUGGUUUUCCAGCACAGCCGUCCCUUAAAUUAAUUGGCGGUCUCGCCGUGGCCCUCCUCUGCGCAGUAGUAAAACACUCGCAACAGGAGCCCGGCGCGGUCCACUGCCGUAAAACCCCCCAACUUUUUAUAGUUGACCUCGAAUCAGGUAGGACUACCCGCUGAACUUAAGCAUAUCAAUAAGCGGAGGA